rnacentral:rRNA from 1 species
UAGGGAAUCUUCCACAAUGGGCGAAAGCCUGAUGGAGCAACGCCGCGUGUGUGAUGAAGGCUUUCGGUCGUAAAGCACUGUUGUAUGGGAAGAACAGCUGGAAUAGGAAAUGAUUUUAGUUUGACGGUACCAUACCAGAAAGGGACGGCUAAAUACGUGCUAG